rnacentral:rRNA from 1 species
GACGAAGGGUGCUAGCGUUGUUCGGAAUUACUGGGCGUAAAGCGUGUGUAGGUGGUUGUCGUAGUCAGGCGUGAAAGCCUUGAGCUCAACUCAAGAAAUGCGCUUGAUACUGGGCAGCUAGAGGACCGGAGAGGAUAGUGGAAUUCCCAGUGUAGUGGUGAAAUACGUAGAGAUUGGGAAGAACACCAGUGGCGAAGGCGGGUAUCUGGGCGGUUUCUGACACUAAGACUCGAAAGCGUGGGGAGCAAACAGG